rnacentral:rRNA from 1 species
GUCUAUAGCCAUGCCACCCUGAACAAGCCCAGUCCCGUCAGAUCUUGGAAGCUAAGCAGGGUUGGGCCUGGUUAGUACUUGGAUGGGAGACCACGUAGGAAGACCAGGUGCUGUAGGUG